rnacentral:rRNA from 1 species
GACGAACGCUGGCGGCGCGCUUAACACAUGCAAGUCGAACGGAAAGGCCUGCUUUCCCUUGUGGAUUGCGGGUACUCGAGUGGCGAACGGGUGAGUAACACGUGAGUGAUCUGCCCCCAACUUGGGUAUAAGCCUGGGAAACUGGGUCUAAUUCCCGAUAGGACUGCAGGGUGGUGCCUGUGGUGGAAAACGAUUUUCUAGUGGUUGGGGAUGAGCUCGCGGCCUAUCAGCUUGUUGGUGGGGUAAUGGCCUACCAAGGCGGCGACGGGUAGCCGGCCUGAGAGGGUGGACGGCCACAGUGGGACUGGGAUACGGCCCAGACACCUACGGGAGGCAGCAGUGGGGAAUAUUACACGAUGGGCGGAAGCCUGAUGCAGCGACGCCGCGUGGGGGAUGACGGCCUUCGGGUUGUAAACUCCUUUCGACCGCGAGGAAGCCACCUGGUUGGAAGGGUGGUGACGGUAGUGGUAGAAGAAGCACCGGCUAACUACGUG